CCCUUAGAUGUUCUGGGCUGCACGCGCGCUACACUGAUGCGCUCAACGAGUUUUAACCUUGCCUGGAAAGGUUGGGUAAUCUUUUUAAAACGCAUCGUGAUUGGGAUAGACCUUUGCAAUUAUGGGUCUUCAACGAGGAAUUCCUAGUAAACGCAAGUCAUCAGCUUGCAUUGAUUACGUCCCUGCCCUUUGUACACACCGCCCGUCGCACCUACCGAUUGAAUGGUCCGGUGAAAUCUCGGGACGGCGGCUUGGUCGCUUGCGUCCGACUGCUGAAACUUGAUUAAACCAUAUCAUUUAGAGGAAGGUGAAGUCGUAACA
rnacentral:rRNA from 1 species